GCGGAUGUGGCGGAAUUGGCAGACGCGCCAGACUUAGGAUCUGGUACCUUUGGUGUGGGGGUUCAAGUCCCUUCAUCCGCACCA
rnacentral:tRNA from 1 species